CCUACGGGUGGCAGCAGUCGAGAAUCAUUCACAAUGGGCGAAAGCCUGAUGGUGUGACGCCGCGUGGAGGAUGACGGUCUUCGGAUUGUAAACUCCUGUCAUGUGAGAGUAAGAUUCAGGGAGUAACUGCCUGUGAAUUUGAGAGUAUCACAAGAGGAAGAGGCGGCUAACUCUGUGCCAGCAGCCGCGGUAAUACAGAGGCCUCAAGCGUUGUUCGGAAUCACUGGGCGUAAAGGGUGCGUAGGCGGCGCGGAAAGUCAGGGGUGAAAUCCCGGAGCUCAACUCCGGAACUGCCUUUGAUACUCCCGCGCUUGAGAACUGGAGGGGACAUCGGAAUUCACGGUGGAGCAGUGAAAUGCGUGGAUAUCGUGAGGAACACUAGUGGCGAAGGCGGAUGUCUGGACAGUAUCUGACGCUGAGGCACGAAGGCCAGGGGAGCGAACGGGAUUAGAUACCCCGGUAGUCCUGGCAGUAAACGGUGCACGCUCGGUAUGGGGGGAAUCGACCCCUCCCGUGCCGGAGCUAACGCGUUAAGCGU
rnacentral:rRNA from 1 species